rnacentral:lncRNA from 1 species
AUGCGCUCCUCAUUCACAGACAAGCUAAGUGGAAUGCAUCUCCAUGAUCUUCAAUACGUGCUCCUCGUCCACAAACAAGCUGAGCAGAACGCGUCUCCACGAUCUCCUACGUGUGCUUCUUGUCCACAGACGAGCUGAAUGAAAUACAUCUUUACGAUCUCCCACAUACGCUCCUCAUCCAUGGAUGAGCUGAGUGGAAUGCAUCUCCGAACGCUCUAACACGCACUCCCCAUCCUAUGAUGAGUUGAAUGAAGUGCAUACCCAAUGUUCAUCAUGCUCCCCAUCCUCCUACGAGCUGAAUGAAGCACCCCAAACUUAUUCUUUAUCCAGAAAUGAAUUAAAUGUACUAAAGUAUGAUAGAUCCCUGAAGCUUGAAGCUACCCGGGGUUAUCGUCAGUUUCUAUACCUCAUCUUCGAAGGACAUAACCUAGGAGAGCUAGAGGCAACGAACGCAAUCUUGAUUAACGAUGACCUCUAGAGAUCCCUACUUAAGCUUGGAUACUGAACUCAACUAUACAUUACUAGUCGAUCUCCACAACAUGGCUAGUCUGAUGUGCAAAAGAUGAAUUAAUUAAAAAAGAUUUUUGUAGAAUUCUGAUAAGUCCAUUUACAAAAUGCCUUGAUAGGUGUCGAGGUCUAAAAAAUAGACUGACCAAUGUCUAAGCCUGGACAAGCCUGAGCUAAGAUACAAAAACUUUUUAGGCCCUAUCAGGGGUGUGAGAGUCGCCGACGUUACCUG